rnacentral:rRNA from 1 species
CCUACGGGAGGCAGCAGUGGGGAAUUUUGCGCAAUGCUCGUAAGAGUGACGCAGCGACGCCGCGUGAAUGACGAAGGCCUUCGGGUCGUAAAGUUCUUUCGACAGGGAAGAAAAUGCCUAUAAGUAACUGUGUAUGUAUUGACGGUACCUGUAUAAGCAGCCCCGGCUAACUCCGUGCCAGCAGCCGCGGUAAUACGGAGGGGGCGAGCGUUGUUCGGAGUGACUGGGCGUAAAGAGCACGUAGGCGGUGUUGUAAGUCAUUAGUCAAAGACUAGAGCUCAACUUUAGUAAGGCUAGUGAAACUAUAAUACUGGAGUAUCAGAGAGGAUUGCAGAAUUCCUGGUGUAGCGGUGAAAUGCGUAGAUAUCAGGAGGAAUACCGUUAGCGAAGGCGGCAAUCUGGCUGGAAACUGACGCUGAGGUGCGAAAGCGUGGGUAGCAAACAGGAUUAGAUACCCCUGUAGUC